UACUCUCUACAAGAGCUCACUGGUCAGAAAAUGAUCAUCCUACUCCAGAUGACGCAUAACAAUAAUUUAAUCCUCACAGCAACCCUGUAAGCCCCAUUUAUUGCAUGGCUUACUGCACGAUAGAGGUUGAAAAGCGACUACACUUCCUGAACUUUUAUCUUCAUGGCCUGGAUUUCACAGAUGACUUGGCCUCUGUCAAGUGGACACACCUGCAUGAAAUUUGGAAGGGGAAGUGAAUGAAAGUUCAUGCUUCUUCUGUGGUUUCUGGGUUUUGCUAAAGAGCAUGAUCUUGGAAGACUUCUUGGAAGCUUUCUUCUGCAGCAGCAAUAAUAAAGAUGCAGCCUACCUUUCGAAUUAGGCCUUCUGAAGUCAGCAGGUACAUCUGACAAAGGUCUAAUGUCCAGAAUCUACAUGAAACUUAAACAAAUCAACAAGGGAAAAACAAAUAACCCCAUUAAAAAAUGGGCAAAGAACAUGAACAGAGACUUCUCAAAAGAAGACAUACAAGCGGCCAAUAAACAUAUGAAAAUAUGCUCAUCAUCACUAAUCAUCAGACUAAUGCAAAUCAGAACCACAAUGAGAUACCAUCUCACACCAGUCAGAAAGGCGAUUAUUAAAAAGUCUAAAAAACAACAGAUGCUGGCAAGGCUGCAGAGAAAAGGGAAUGUUUAUACACUGUGGGUGGGAAUAUAAAUUAGUUCAGCCACAGCGGAAAGCAGUUUGGAGGUUUCACAAAGAACUUAAAACAGGACUACAGUUCAAUUCAGCAAUCCUAUUACUGGAUAUAUACCCAAAGGGAAAUAAAUAAUUCUAUGAAACAGACACAUGCACUUGUGUGUUCAUCGCAGUGCUAUUCACAAUUGCAGAGAAAUGGAAUUAACCUAGAUGCCCAUCAAUGGUGGAUUGGAUAAACAAAAUGUGGUACAUAUAUACCAUGUAGUACUAUGCACCCAUAAAAAGAAUGAAAUCAUGUCCUUUGCAGCUACAUGGAUGGAGCUGGAGGCCAUUAUCCUAAGCAAACUAACACAGGAACAGGAAAGCAAAUACAGCACGUUCUCACUUCUAAGUGAGAGCUAAGCAUUGAGUACACACAGACAUAAAUAUGGGAACAAUAGACACUGGGGACUACUGGAGGGGGGAGGGUGGGAAGAGGCCAUGAGCUGAGAAACUACCUUUUUGGUACUAUGUUCACUACCAGGGUGACAGGAUCAUCUCUACCCCAAACCUCACCAUCAAGCAAUAUACCCGUAUGCAAACCUGCACAUGUACCCCCUGAAUCUGAAAUACAAGUUGAUUGCAACAUGAUAAAAGAGCAUUUAUGAAAACUGACAAGUAAUAACAUACUUAAUGGUGAAAGACUGAAUGCUUUCCCCUAAGAUCAAGAACAAGACAAGGAUGUCUACUUUCACAAUUUAUAUUCAACCUUAAACUGGAGAUUCUAUCCAGUGAAAUCAGUCAAACAAAAGAAGAGGAGGAGGAGGAGAAAGAAGAAGAACUAAGAGGUAUCCAUAUUGGAAAGCAGAAUUAAAACUGUCUUUCUUGGCAGACUUCAUGGUUAUCUAUGUAGAAAAUCCUACGGUUUCUGCAAAAAGCUACUGGAAAUAAUGAAUUUGGUAAGUUUGUAGGAUAAAGAUCAAUAUACAAAAAACAUCUAAAUUUUUAUAUACUAGCAAUGAACAGUUGGAAAUAGAAAUGUUAAAAAUGCAUUCCCAGUUACAAUUACACAAAAUAUAUGCAAUACUCAGGGGGUAAUUCUAACAAAUAAUAUGAAUGACCUGUGCAACAAAAACUAGAAAACAUGGCUGAGAGAAAUUAAGAUCUAAAUAAAUGGAGAGAUAUAAAAUGUUCAUGGUCUGAAAACACAACAUUGUUCAGAUGCCAUUUUUCCCCAAUUUGGCCUGUAGACUCAAAACAAUUCCAAUCAAGCAUUUUUUGUAGAAAUUGAAAAGUUGAUUCUAAAAUCCCUGUGGAAAUGCAAACAAUCUGGAAUAGCCAAAUUCUCUUUGAAAAAGAAACAAAUCAGAGGACUUACCCUGGCUGAUUUCAAGGUAUAUCUUAAACUACUGUAAUCAAGACACUGUGGCAUUGGCAUUAAGAUAAACAAAUGGUGUUGGAACAAUUGGAUGGCCAUAUGCAAGAAAAGAACUUUGAUCCAUACCUUGCUCCAUAUAGAAAAUUAAUUCAAAAUGGAUCGUAGACAUAAAUGUAAAACCUAACUAUAAAACUUCAAGAGAAGAUACAGAAAAAAAAUUGAGAGUUUAGGUUAAGCAAAGGUUGCUUUGAUAGGGCACAAAAAACAUAAUCCAUAAAACAAAAUUUUAAUAGAAUUUCAUCAAAAUUCAAAUUUUCUAGCCUGAAAGUCGCUAUUAGGAGAAUGAAAAGACAAGCCAUAGGCUUGGGGAAAAAAAAUUCAGAAAUCGUAUAUCUGAUAAUGGCUUACAACCAGAAUAUAUAAAGAACUGUUACAGUUCAAUAAUAAGAAGACAAACAAUCUAAUAAAUAAAAUGGACAAAAGAUUUAAAUAGACUCUUCACCAAAGAAGAUUUAUCAAUGCCAAAUAAGUAUGCAUAAAGAUUUUCAAUAUCGUUAGUUAUUAUGGAAAUGCAAGUUAGAACCACAAUGAGAUGCCACUACCUGUUCACUAAAAUGGCUGACAUUCAAAAGACCAAUUAUAGCAAGUAUAGACAAUGAUGUGGAGCAACUGGAAUAAUUUUACACUGCCACUGGAAAUGUAAAAAGGUACAACCACUUUGUAAAAUACUUAGGCAGUUUCUUUAAAAGUUAAACAUGCACCUACCUUAUGGCCCAGUCAUACCACUCUUAGAUAUUUACCUGAGUAAUUAAAUCAUAUGCACAUGCACAUUUAAAAACUUGUAACAAAUGUUCAUAGUAAUUUUAUUCAUUAUAGCCUAAAACUAGAAACAAUGUAAGUGCUGAUCAACAAGGGAAUGAGUAAACAAACUGUGGCACGUUCAUGCAAUGGAUUACUACUCAACAAUAAAAAUGAACUAUUGAUACAUGCUACAGCAUAGAUGAAGCUCAAAAUAAUUAUGCUGAGUGAAAGAAGCUAGACCAAAAAGAGUAUAUGCUGUAUAAUUCCAUUUAUAUAAAAUUCUAUAAGAUGCAAGCUAGUCUCCAGUGAAAGAAAACAAAUUGAUUGUUGUAUGGGGAUUAAAGUGUGAGGAGGGAUGGGAGGGAUUACAAAAGGGAACAAGGAAACUUCUGGAAGUGAUAGAUAUAUUCUCUAUAUUGAUUGUGGUGAUGGUUUUACAGUUAUGUUCAUAAGUCAAAUUUUAAGUCAAAUUUUACAGUUUGAGCAAUUAGAUGCAAAUAUGUACAGUUAAUUGUAUGUAAACUAUACCUGAAUGAAGCUACUAAAGAACAGUUGAUUCUUGCUUUUUGUUUGUUUGUUUUGUUUUGUUUUUGAGACAGAGUUUCACUCUUGUUGCAUAGGCUGGAGCGCAAUGGCAUGAUCUUGG
rnacentral:lncRNA from 10 species